UAAUUAAGCGGAGGAAAAGAAACUAACAAGGAUAGACUCAGUAAGGGCGACUGAAGCGUCUAUAGCUCACCAUGUGAAUUUGCACUGCAUGGUGCUGAAUUGUGGUCUGGAGACUUUUGCAUCACAAGGCCAGGCCAAGUCCCUUGGAACGGGGCAGCUCAGAGGGUGACACUCCCAUGUGCCUGGCUUUGAGAGCAAUUGUCCAAGAGUCGAGUUGUUUGGGAUUGCAGCUCCAAGCAGGUGGUAAAUUCCAUCGAAAGCUAAAUACUGGUGGAAGACCGAUAGCGAACAAGUACCGUGAGGGAAAGAUGCAAAGAACUUUGAAAAGAGAGUUAAAGAGUACCUGAAAUUGCUGAAAAGGAAGCGAAGGAAACUAGUGUCAGUUGCGCCACACUUCCCUGCUCGCUUGCGGUUGGGGCGCUGUGGCCAGCGUAGUCCUGUUGGAUGGGCUUGGGCCAAUGAACAGUGAAGAAAGUUGUCCUUUGUUGUGUAGUGCCCGAGCCUUUUUGAUUGGACAAAAUAGUUUUCUUUUCCCCG
rnacentral:rRNA from 1 species